AAUAACCCAGGGAAACUUGGACUAAUACCGUAUACGUCCUUCGGGAGAAAGAUUUAUCGGAGUUGGAUGAGCCCGCGUUGGAUUAGCUAGUUGGUGGGGUAAUGGCCUACCAUGGCGACGAUCCAUAGCUGGUCUGAGAGGAUGAUCAGCCACACUGGGACUGAGACACGGCCCAGACUCCUACGGGAGGCAGCAGUGGGGAAUAUUGGACAAUGGGCGAAAGCCUGAUCCAGCCAUGCCGCGUGAGUGAUGAAGGCCCUAGGGUUGUAAAGCUCUUUCAACGGUGAAGAUAAUGACGGUAACCGUAGAAGAAGCCCCGGCUAACUUCGUGCCAGCAGCCGCGGUAAUACGAAGGGGGCUAGCGUUGUUCGGAAUUACUGGGCGUAAAGCGCACGUUGGCGGACUAUUAAUUCAGGGGUGAAAUCCCGGGGCUCAACCCCGGAACUGCCUUUUGAUACUGGUAGUCUAGAGUCCCGAGAGGAGGUGAGUGGAAUUUCCGAGUGUAGAGGUGAAAUUCGUAGAUAUUUCGGAGGAACACCCAGUGGGCGAAGGCGGCUCUCUGGCUCGGUACUGACGCUGAGGUGCGAAAGCGUGGGG
rnacentral:rRNA from 1 species